AUCUUGCACAAUGGUCGAAAGGCUGAUGCAGCGACGCCGCGUGGGGGAUGAAGGCCUUCGGGUCGUAAACCCCUACCCAGUGAGAGGAACACGGACAUCAGGUAAUGGGUGUCCGUUGACGUUAUCACUGGAAUUAGGUCCGGCUAACUACGUGCCAGCAGCCGCGGUAAUACGUAGGGACCAAGCGUUAUCCGGAAUCACUGGGCGUAAAGGGUGAGCAGGCGGGCACGUAAGUCCGACGUGAAAGCCCCGAGCUUAACUCGGGAAUGGCGCCGGAAACUACGUGUCUUGAGGACCAGAGAGGCAGGGAGAAUUCCCGGUGUAGCGGUGAAAUGCGUAGAUAUCGGGAGGAAUACCAGUGGCGAAAGCGCCCUGCUGGAUGGUUCCUGACGCUGAGUCACGAAAGCGUGGGUAGCCAACG
rnacentral:rRNA from 1 species